UACGUAGGGUGCAAGCGUUGUCCGGAAUUAUUGGGCGUAAAGAGCUCGUAGGCGGUUUGUCGCGUCUGCGGUGAAAACUCGGGGCUUAACCCCGGGCCUGCAGUGGGUACGGGCAGACUAGAGUGCGGUAGGGGAGACUGGAAUUCCUGGUGUAGCGGUGAAAUGCGCAGAUAUCAGGAGGAACACCGGUGGCGAAGGCGGGUCUCUGGGCCGACAUUGACGCUGAGGAGCGAAAGCGUGGGGAGCGAACAGG
rnacentral:rRNA from 1 species